GAUGAAGAACGCAGCGAAAUGCGAUAAGUAGUGUGAAUUGGAGAAUUCAGUGAAUCAUCGAAUCUUUGAACGCACAUUGCGCCCCUUGGUAUUCCAUGGGGCAUGCCUGUUCGAGCGUCAUUUGUACCUUCAAGCUCUGCUUGGUGUUGGGUGUUUGUCUCGCCUCUGCGUGUAGACUCGCCUCAAAACAAUUGGCAGCCGGCGUAUUGAUUUCGGAGCGCAGUACAUCUCGCGCUUUGCACUCAUAACGACGACGUCCAAAAGUACAUUUUUACACUCUUGACCUCGGAUCAGGUAGGGAUACCCGCUGAACUUAAGCAUAUCAAUAAGCGGAGGA
rnacentral:misc_RNA from 1 species